UCAAACGGUUUCUAAAAUUUUACUCCCCAUUUCUCUUUCCAGACCACAACCAUGGCAAUCCACAGCCAUACAGCCACACAGACAACAACUCUUUGCUCAGAGGUUUUUCCUCUAAAAAGAUAAGAAAUCAGGGAAAGGAGAAGAGAAUUGUGAAGGCGUCACAUUUGAACGCAUGGUUGAAAAGGAAAACCUAUGGAACCUAUUGUAUUUCAGGGAGAAAGAAAAAAAUUAAUGGAAUAAGCAUCAACGUUGAAGUUGUUAUGGCAUUCUGAUGAAAUUUUCUUCGCACUUGCACGGAAGCCUUUAGUAAGUAAUGGGUUUCUUCACAAAAAUCUAUUAAGGGGAAGCUAAAUCAAGGCUUCAUUGAAUGUAUAAGUUGGCAAGGUAUUCUUUUAGUGUCAGAUUGAAGAUCAAAGAAUAAAAGAUUGGAAGGGUCAAGUUUCAUUUGCAAAGAUCAAGAAGGCAAAGGGAUCAUAGCUGGCUACGAUAUUUGGGAAACUCUGGACAAGGUGGCAAUUAAUUGUUUGGCUGUUAAAGCUCUCGAAUAGUAAGAAACAAAGGAUUUAUAAAGAUCAUUAUUCUUCUAGGUAAUGCUUAAGUAGAGACCUUAUAUCAAAACACAAGGGUUCCUAGAUGGCUUACUCAACAUAGGCUGGCAAAUGGAAGGAAUAUGGUUUAGAAUGGCUGAUAAGAGAGUGCUUAAGAAAGCAAAUGAUCUUGGGUGGUAGAGCACAGACAAGGUUUGAAAUUAGGACUACUUGCUCAAAUACUAUAGCAAAGAAGAGUUAGGUGUUACUAGUAUUUCAACACCGAAGUAAAAUAUAAAAGCUACAUAUUUUAUCAUAGCUGCUUGCUCACUCCCAAGUGCAGUAGAUCAUAGCAAUAUAA